UCCAAGCGUUACUCGAACCGGCGA
rnacentral:siRNA from 1 species